rnacentral:rRNA from 1 species
GAGUGGCGAACAUGGUGAGUAACACGUGGGAAACCUGCCCAGAAGCGGGGGAUAACACCUGGAAACAGAUGCUAAUACCGCAUAACAACUUGGACCGCAUGGUCCGAGUUUGAAAGAUGGCUUCGGCUAUCACUUUUGGAUGGUCCCGCGGCGUAUUAGCUAGAUGGUGGGGUAACGGCUCACCAUGGCAAUGAUACGUAGCCGACCUGAGAGGGUAAUCGGCCACAUUGGGACUGAGACACGGCCCAAACUCCUACGGGAGGCAGCAGUAGGGAAUCUUCCACAAUGGACGAAAGUCUGAUGGAGCAACGCCGCGUUUGGGUAAAAGGGUUUCGGCUCGUAAAACUCUGUUGUUAAAGAAGAACAUAUCUGAGAGUAACUGUUCAGGUAUUGACGGUAUUUAACCAGAAAGCCACGGCUAACUACGUGCCAGCAGCCGCGGUAAUACGUAGGUGGCAAGCGUUGUCCGGAUUUAUUGGGCGUAAAGCGAGCGCAGGCGGUUUUUUAAGUCUGAUGUGAAAGCCUUCGGCUCAACCGAAGAAGUGCAUCGGAAACUGGGAAACUUGAGUGCAGAAGAGGACAGUGGAACUCCAUGUGUAGCGGUGAAAUGCGUAGAUAUAUGGAAGAACACCAGUGGCGAAGGCGGCUGUCUGGUCUGUAACUGACGCUGAGGCUCGAAAGUAUGGGUAGCAAACAGGAUUAGAUACCCUGGUAGUCCAUACCGUAAACGAUGAAUGCUAAGUGUUGGAGGGUUUCCGCCCUUCAGUGCUGCAGCUAACGCAUUAAGCAUUCCGCCUGGGGAGUACGGCCGCAAGGCUGAAACUCAAAGGAAUUGACGGGGGCCCGCACAAGCGGUGGAGCAUGUGGUUUAAUUCGAAGCUACGCGAAGAACCUUACCAGGUCUUGACAUACUAUGCAAAUCUAAGAGAUUAGACGUUCCCUUCGGGGACAUGGAUACAGGUGGUGCAUGGUUGUCGUCAGCUCGUGUCGUGAGAUGUUGGGUUAAGUCCCGCAACGAGCGCAACCCUUAUUAUCAGUUGCCAGCAUUAAGUUGGGCACUCUGGUGAGACUGCCGGUGACAAACCGGAGGAAGGUGGGGAUGACGUCAAAUCAUCAUGCCCCUUAUGACCUGGGCUACACACGUGCUACAAUGGAUGGUACAACGAGUUGCGAACUCGCGAGAGUAAGCUAAUCUCUUAAAGCCAUUCUCAGUUCGGAUUGUAGGCUGCAACUCGCCUACAUGAAGUCGGAAUCGCUAGUAAUCGCGGAUCAGCAUGCCGCGGUGAAUACGUUCCCGGGCCUUGUACACACCGCCCGUCACACCAUGAGAGUUUGUAACACCCAAAGUC